CCUACGGGUGGCAGCAGUGAGGAAUAUUGGUCAAUGGGCGAGAGCCUGAACCAGCCAAGUCGCGUGAGGGAGUACUGCCCUAUGGGUUGUAAACCUCUUUUGUCGGGGAGCAAAAGCCGGACGUGUCCGGCUGUGAGAGUACCCGAAGAAAAAGCAUCGGCUAACUCCGUGCCAGCAGCCGCGGUAAUACGGAGGAUGCGAGCGUUAUCCGGAUUUAUUGGGUUUAAAGGGUGCGCAGGCGGAUUGUUAAGUCAGCGGUAAAAUCGUGGGGCUCAACCCCAUCCAGCCGUUGAAACUGGGGAUCUAGAGUGUGCGAGAGGUAUGCGGAAGGCGUGGUGUAGCGGUGAAAUGCAUAGAUAUCACGCAGAACCCCGAUUGCGAAGGCAGCAUACCGGUGCACAACUGACGCUCAGGCACGAAAGCGUGGGUAUCGAACAGGAUUAGAUACCCCAGUAGUC
rnacentral:rRNA from 1 species